rnacentral:rRNA from 1 species
AACGAACGCUGGCGGCAUGCCUAACACAUGCAAGUCGAACGAGACCUUCGGUUCUAGUGGCGCACGGGUGCGUAACGCGUGGGAACCUGCCCUUAGGUUCGGAAUAACUCCCCGAAAGGGGUGCUAAUACCGGAUAAUGUCUUCGGACCAAAGAUUUAUCGCCUUUGGAUGGGCCCGCGUUGGAUUAGCUAGUUGGUAGGGUAAAAGCCUACCAAGGCGACGAUCCAUAGCUGGUCUGAGAGGAUGAUCAGCCACACUGGGACUGAGACACGGCCCAGACUCCUACGGGAGGCAGCAGUGGGGAAUAUUGGACAAUGGGCGAAAGCCUGAUCCAGCAAUGCCGCGUGAGUGAUGAAGGCCUUAGGGUUGUAAAGCUCUUUUAUCCGGGAUGAUAAUGACAGUACCGGGAGAAUAAGCUCCGGCUAACUCCGUG